GACGAACGCUGGCGGCGCGCUUAACACAUGCAAGUCGAACGGAAAGGCCUGCUUUCCCUUGUGGAUUGCGGGUACUCGAGUGGCGAACGGGUGAGUAACACGUGAGUGAUCUGCCCCCAACUUGGGUAUAAGCCUGGGAAACUGGGUCUAAUUCCCGAUAGGACUGCAGGGUGGUGCCUGUGGUGGAAAACGAUUUUCUAGUGGUUGGGGAUGAGCUCGCGGCCUAUCAGCUUGUUGGUGGGGUAAUGGCCUACCAAGGCGGCGACGGGUAGCCGGCCUGGGAGGGUGGACGGCCACAUUGGGACUGAGAUACGGCCCAGACUCCUACGGGAGGCAGCAGUGGGGAAAAUUGCACAAUGGGCGGAAGCCUGAUGCAGCGACGCCGCGUGGGGGAUGACGGCCUUCGGGUUGUAAACUCCUUUCGACCGCGAGGAAGCCACCUGGUUGGAAGGGUGGUGACGGUAGUGGUAGAAGAAGCACCGGCUAACUACGUG
rnacentral:rRNA from 1 species